UUUAUCGAAAGCAAUUACAAAAUGAUUUAUGUGUUAUAGACGACUUCAGUAAGUCAUCUUCUUCGCUCUCUUCCUUUUUGCUCAAUAAUAUAAAUAAAAGUGCACAUAAAGAUGCGUGUAUUAGUGCUAGUGCUAGUGCCAGUGUUAGUGUUAGUGUCAGUGCUAGUGCUAAUGCCAGUAUUAGUGCUAGUACCAGUGCUAGUGCCAAUGCUAGUACCAGUGCUAGUGCCAAUGCUAGUACCAGUGCUAAUACCAGUGCUAGUACCAGUGCUAAUACCAGUGCUAGUGCUAGUGCUAGUGUCAGUAGUAACAAUUCGCUCCUUAGUAAGAGACAUUAUAAAUCCAUACGUGACCAUAACAAUAGUUUUAACAACAUGUUACAAAGAGUAAAUAAAAGAUUUACCUAUACUACUAGUCACCCAUUAAAUUACAGCUAUUUGUUUAAUCCUGUUAUAGUUCGUAAAGAAGAUAAUGAAAAUUUGUAUAAUAAUAGUGACGCUAGUAACUUUGAAUUUAUAGACAUUUACAAUAGUGUUAACAAAAAAGAAACUAAUUGUAAAGAUACAAGUCAUUUGUAUAACAAUGAUAAUAUAAACACAUAUUACAAUAUAAAAAGUGACUUCAAUACAUAUAUAAACGACUAUUCUACUGUUCAUAAAAAAUAUAUAUAUAAUAAUACUUUAGACACAAUAAAGGAAUUACAAUAUGUUAACUCUGUCGAUAAAACUAGUAAAAAUAAACCGAUGGUAGCCAACGAAACGAGUAUGCACUACACAGAUACGAACAAAAGUAAAGGUACAGAUAAGAGCAGUAAUACACAAAUAAAAAAAAAAUGCAAAAAUAAACUGCCAUCGAAACUAUAUAAAAUUAGCAGACAUGAUAACAUAGAAGAAAAUUUAAAAGAUAACUCAGAUUCACUUAUAAAGUUUUAUACAACUUCGUUUAAUCCAAUAUUUUGUUAUAAAGAAAGAACAAUUAAAGAAAUACCAUGUGAAGACACAAUAAAAACCAAUUUAGCUUAUUCAUACUCUGACGAAUUAAGUAGUUUUAAUGUAUUAAGUUUAGAUAAUGUGAGCAGUAGUCUCUCUAUUAAAAAGAAUGAUAAUAUAAUCAGUAGCAACAUAUAUAACGGCAAUACUAACAAAACUGCAGCUAGCUAUAACAAUACUACUGCUAGCUAUAACAAUACUACUGCUAGCUAUAACAAUACUACUGCUAGCUAUAACAAUACUACUGCUAGCUAUAACAAUAUGGUAGAUAGCUAUUAUAAUACUAGUGCUAUAUUUAACAACACGGUAGCUAGCUAUAAUAAUACCAGUGCAAGAUAUAACAAUAUGGUAGAUAGUUAUAAUAAUACGCUAACGAGCUAUAAUAAUACCAGUGCUAGUUACAACAACUUUAGUGCUAGCUACAAUAAUACGGUAGAUAGUUAUAAUAAUAUGCUAGCUAGCUAUAAUAAUACAUUAGCUAGCUAUAAUAAUACAUUAGCUAGCCAUAACAAUACUAGUGCUAGUUACGCUAAUAAACGUCACAAAGAAGAUACUACUAAUAAUACUACAUACGAUUUUAGUAAUAGUGAAGUUAGUUCUUUAAUAUAUUUUAAUAUGUACUUUCUUAAAAAUAAAGAAAAAACAGAAGAUAUGAAUACAAAAGGUCUAGGUAUUAACAAAAAAAAGCAAUGUACUAGAAAUGCAUUAGUGAAACUUGAUAGUUGUAUGCGUACGAGUGAUUUAUGUAAAGGAUACAUGUACACUAGUGAUGAGUUUGGAAACAAAAAACAAGACAAAAGACAGGACAAAAGACAGGACAAAAGACAGGACAAAAGACUGGACAAAAAACAGGACAAAAAACAGGAUAAAAGAAAGCAAUACAAAUAUAAAACCAAACAUAAACACAAAUAUAAACAUAAAGAUGUACAUAAACAUAUACACAAGGACGAGCAUAAAUACAAAGACGAACAUAAAUAUAAGGAAGACCAUAAACACAAAGACGAGUACAAAGAUGUAACAACUUAUCAUCGGUUAAAAAAAAAAAAAGCUUUUGCUUCUCAUCAAAAAAAGAUAAUGAAAAAAAAAUGUCACAUAAAAAAUACAAAAAUUAAUAACGAAUUAAAAAUUGUCAACGAUAACAAUAAAAAUCAGUUCAAUUUUUACGAAUUUAAAAAUAAUAAUCUAAUGAAUAAUGUUUUAAAAACGCAAGAUAAAAAAAAACAGGCAUCUUUACGGUCAUAUAAAGUUUUUAGUAGUUGCAACUGUGACGGAAAUUGUGGCGGAAAUUGUGAUGGAAAUUAUGGCGGAAAUUGUGGUGGAAAAUGUAACUCCAAUUUGAAUAAAUUAAAAAAAAGAAAAAUAAAUAUAAAACAGAACAAACAGUUGAUAACUUUAGGUGAUUCAAUUUACAAUAACGAUUCUAUAAAAAGAAAAAUGAUUAGAUUAUGGGACGAUAGUAUAUUGCCAGAUCAAAAAGUAGUAACAGAAAGGGGAAAAAAAAAAAAAGAAAAAAAAAAAAUAGAAAUGACUGAACAAAAGAUGAACAAAAGCACAAGUAGUAACACACAUAACAAUAAAAUACAACAUAAAUUACUAAAAAUUUGUUACCAUUUGUUAUAUAUGAAUAGUUAUUUUCAAAGAGGGUAUGAUAAAAAAGAAGCGCAACACCAAAUCCGUAAAAUUAUCCCAAUCCGUGAACUAAACAAAAUAGAAGAGGUAGUGACCGAGGUAAAACAACAGGAUAAGUCAAAAUCGUUUAUACAUAAAAAAAAUAAAAACAUUUUAAAUACUCAUGACAUAAGUAAAAUAAAACAAAAAACAAAUCUUCAAAAUUUUAUAAACGCACUGAACAAUCUGUUUAAUAGUUUUAUCUUACGUAGUUUGACACAUAUGUAUGUUGUUCAGAGUUUGAAACAGGGAACGAUUGUGGAGUUGUUAUAUGAUAACAGUGUCGAUAAUGCCGUUAGUGUCGGUAGUGACUGUACCGUUAGUAAUAGUUAUAUUAACGUUUGGAAUAAGUUAGAUUCAAAGAAAAAAAGUGCCGAACACACAAUAGACAGUGUAGCACUAUGUAACAAAAAUAGAUCUCAUAUAGUCAGUGGUACUACAAAUACAAAUGUUUUUAAUAGCAAAAUCAAUAUCUUUGGUAAAUAUAAUCAUAAAAACUUAAAAAAAAAUAAAAAUAAAAAAAUUUUGAAUGGAAAAAAUGAGAAUGAUACAAUGAGAAAAGUAGAGAGGGGAAUAAAAAUAAAACACCGUGUUAAACACAUGAUAAGUUACAAAAAUAAAACUUAUAAUAUGUAUUUUAAUCGAUACAAUUUUAAUAAUAAGUUAACUUGCGGUUAUAAUAAAAAUAGUUCGAUUUGGAAUAAAAGGUUACUCAAUUUAUACAUGAAGGUAAAACAGAAAAAUAAUAAAAAAAAAGGGUUCAACGGGU
rnacentral:lncRNA from 1 species